rnacentral:rRNA from 1 species
CUAGUGGCGCACGGGUGCGUAACGCGUGGGAACCUGCCUUUAGGUUCGGAAUAACUCAGAGAAAUUUGAGCUAAUACCGGAUAAUGUCUUCGGACCAAAGAUUUAUCGCCUUUAGAUGGGCCCGCGUUGGAUUAGCUAGUUGGUGGGGUAAAGGCCUACCAAGGCGACGAUCCAUAAGCUGGUCUGAGAGGAUGAUCAGCCACACUGGGACUGAGACACGGCCCAGACUCCUACGGGAGGCAGCAGUGGGGAAUAUUGGACAAUGGGCGAAAGCCUGAUCCAGCAAUGCCGCGUGAGUGAUGAAGGCCUUAGGGUUGUAAAGCUCUUUUACCCGAGAUGAUAAUGACAGUAUCGGGAGAAUAAGCUCCGGCUAACUCCGUG